CGCGGGGACGCUGGGGGACGUGGGGGCGCCGAGGGACUUGGAGGGCGCCGAGGGACGUGGGGGCGCUGAGGGACGUUGGGGGUGCUGAGGGGACGCCCGCAGGGGCCGCUGAGGGACGUGGGAGUGUUGAGACACAGACACAGGAAGCAUCAACUCUGAGGCUUUGGCCAGGAUGUGAGCCCGACUUUCGCAGCCCCAACUGGCAGGCUGACCUCAUGUGAACUCCCUGGCGAUGGCAUCCUGGAGACACCCACAUGGCUGAGCUGGCACCAUAGGCACUCAUAAUCCAGGUUCAGUUUCUGCCAGCACUAAUUUGGUUUAUUCCACAUGGCUGGAGCCACUGCGGGACUCCAUUUGUUCCGGGGCCACCUUCCUGUCACCUUUUACUGUUUCUUGAGUCAGCAAGAAAGGCAGAUCCGACUGAAGACUCCAGCACUCUCCUCAGCUGCAGCCCCCACAGAGCUCCGCGAAGUCCUUUCUCCCACAGGACAGAUCUGAGGCACCCACCAUUAGAAGAAAGGAGUGGAGAAAUGAUAUGCAGGAAGAAGGCCCAUUCUGAUUCACCAAUCGCAUGGACGCACUUUCCUACCAGGCUAGGAGGGAGGAAAGUAGAGCCCCACCCUGACUGCUAAGCCGUUUGCUUUGGUGUCAUGAAAAAAGAGUUCAGCUUCCCAAAUCAGAGAGGAAAAGGUUUUCAAGGGGUCCCCUAUUUCUAUUAUGUAAGCUUUAAAUGACAAAGUGGACCUCUGGGGCCAACGUGGGUGUGUGAUGGUGGUUUUGUGGGAUUCUCCCCAUAGCCCCAUCAGACGGCCUCACCUUCUGGGUCUCAGUGGCCCCAGGUGCAACACGGCUCCUCCAGAAAUGAUGACAGCCCUGGCGACCAAGGACUCCCUGUGCCACUGGGUUUGCGCUCAGAAGUAUAUUCAAUGAUUUCCCCAGAAAAUUCCAAGUCAUCUCCUAAUACUGUUUGUGAAAACUAAAUGAACUGUCGUGGUCUUCUUCAGGGACAGUUUGCUAGGAAGGGUGGUUAUUGGCAUAAUUUUCCAAAUCAAUGAACUAAGUUACAAAACUUUCUCAAAGACCCUGAUGGCUGUUACAAAGACAGAAAAGUGAAUGGUCAGAAAGAAGUGUGAUAAUUCACCCAGUAUUGGGAGGACGAGGUGGGCGGAUCACGAGGUCAGGACAUCGAGACCAUCCUGGCUAACACAGUGAAACCCCGUCUCUACUAAAAAAAUACAAAAAAUUAGCCGGGCGUGGUGGUGGGCGCCUGUAGUCCCAGCUUCUCGGGAGGCUGAGGCAGGAGAAUGGCGUGAAACCUGGGAGGUGGAGCUUGCAGUGAGCCAAGAUCACGCCACUGCACUCCAGCCUGGGCGACGGAGCAAGACUCCGUCUCAUAAAAACAGCCUAAGACAACCACACAGCACACAGGCCUUCAUCCUUGGCUGUGACGGAUGCGUGUCCGUGUGGAGGGCCAGGCCUGUUUCUCCCGUCACUAAUGGAAGCCUCUCUGAGUUUCCAUGAAAGUCUCC
rnacentral:lncRNA from 10 species